rnacentral:tRNA from 2 species
GGACCCGUAGCCUAGUGGAUAGGGCAGCUGCCUUCUAAGCAGCAGGUCGAGGGUUCGAAUCCCUCCGGGUCCG